GCCUCUGUAGCUCAGUUGGUUAGAGCGCUGCACCGGAAUCGCAGGGCCUAGGUUCAAUUCCUAUCGGAGGAC
rnacentral:tRNA from 1 species